UACCACAGCCAUAUCACCGUGCAGCCCACUGAAGCUAAGCAGAGUUGAGCCUGGUCAGUACCUGGAUGGGAGACCUCCUGGGAAAACUAGGUUGCUGUUGGAA
rnacentral:rRNA from 1 species